UCAUUAAGAAGCUAAUCAGCGCUAACCUUUUAAGUUAGAGAAUGGAAGUCUAAGUCUUUCCUUAAUGAU
rnacentral:tRNA from 1 species